rnacentral:misc_RNA from 1 species
ACAAAAAAUGGCGUCUUCAUUGGAGGGAGAAAAUGCUGGGAUCUCUAAAUCUUUACAUGUUACGGAGGAUGAUGAUACAAAGGAUGACAGUUCAAUGUUAGAUGGUUCAAGUUCCAAGGCAAAAAGUGCCCGUGAUGUAGUGACUCCCCUUGCUCAUAUGCCUUAUGAAGACCAGUUGGAGCACAAGAAGAACUCUAUUAUGCAAAUGCUAAAAAAACUUACUAGAAAUGCUCGUAAAGCAUGUCCAAAUGGUGUUUCUUUGCCAGAAUGGAUUCUCAAGUCUAGGGA